rnacentral:lncRNA from 1 species
GCAAGUGGUGCAUCAAGCAAUUUAGAUUGGGCUGUUGAAGGGAAGACAACUGCUUGGUCAAAAUACAGAGUGCAAGUUCAGGGAAGUUUACCCAGGGGUGACCCAGCAGCUUCGUGGCUACAGCUGACCAACCUUUUCUUUUCUUCCUAGUUCUCUUGUCCAUCUGCUCACUGCUCUGCGACCCCAACCCCGAUGACCCCCUGGUGCCAGAGAUAGCCCACACCUACAAGGCCGACAGAGAGAAGUACAACAGACUAGCAAGAGAGUGGACACAAAAAUAUGCUAUGUAAGUGCCUUGGAGGUUUUACAUGAGACACUGUCCAAGAGAAGCUGGCAGAGAGGUCUUCCCUUAAAACUUUGGGCUGUUGGCUGAGCCAUUCAAAGAGUAUCAUCUGUUCUUCAAACAAAUGUUGGUCACCCACUCUCUCCAGCUGCAGCAUGUUGGUGCCAUUUUCAGCAAUUGUGGCUUUGACAGUGCCACCUCUUUGAUGCCAAAUCAGCAACCAUUGUUGUUAUGAUCUGCAGUCUUCCUGGUGACACUGGAAUCUCUCUCUCUGCCGCCUCAGUUUGUCUGCUGGUCUCUUGGGGGGCCAGGCCCUGCACGUCUCUCCUACCCGGCCUCAAAUGGUGCUGCUGCCCAUGAUGGUACCACACCAGGGCCUCAGCCUGGCCCCUCACCACAUACCCUUUGCCUUUUAGAACUCAGUGCCAUCCUGGGUGCCCAGGGAAGAGCAGGCUUUGUUCGCACCUCAUCUGCUGCAGAACCACAUCCUGAGGAGUCUCAGCUUAUCCUGGAGGGAAUUGGGAACAGUGUCACUGGGAAGUGAAGGCCUAGACCUGCGGCUUCCACCAGUCUCCUCCUGCAGUGCCACGUGCUGGCAUUUCUCGCCUCACACCAAGAAGCAGCAAGUGGAAAAUUUCAGGAUACAAAGCACAUAACACCCCAUAAGAGAUGAUUAUGUUUUUAGAAGCAAGAGCAAAAUUAUGAAACCUCUAGAGAUUUGGGUCAUGUUACUCCAUUUGAUGAGGAUUCUCACUACCGCCCGCUCCUCCCAUAGGAGCCUACACUAAGUCCAAGUGUGAGCCAUUCACAGACUAGAACACAAGGAGGGAGAGAGACUCUUAAAUGUAAAUAAAAAUGCAAUUCACUCACAACUCUAAAUGAUAAUUGACAUUUCAGCCUCUUUCUUUUAGGCAAAACAGAAGAUACACACUAUUAACAGUUAUUUGAAGCCUUAAAUUACAAUAGCCUGUUAGGUGAUCGGCUUUCUGAUGCAGCACAUUUUAAGAUUUGCCUCUAAAGCUUUGAGCCUUGAGAUUAGGUUAGUUAGGAAGAGGACAACAAAGGGAAGAGAUUAUUCUAAUAAAACUUCCACAGAGGGAAGAAAAUUGAGGAGCUUCAGAUCUCUAAAGCCAAAUUCAACCUGAUCUUUCUAGGUUGGUUAUAAAGCUGGUCCACUUCCAGGAAGUGAUGUGUAGGUGAAUAGGAACAAAAGGUGAAGAAGCAGUAAAACUGUGACCAAGUGGCCAGAUGGGGCUUUUGCCGGCUGAUUGAAAGGAAGUCUACAGACCUAACAUAAGCAGUCAGCCAAAGGUGGCUGUGGGAGGUUGAUUUCUUCCAGAAACUUCCAAGUUGUGGCUACAAAUUUAUUGCCAGAUAUUUUCCCACUGAGAAUACUGAGGUUAUUCACAUAAUCACUUCCUUAACAAAGGAAGAAGCACUUUUAACUUGGGCUGCAUUCCCUUUGUGAGGGUCCACAUUUAGGAUCUCCUGCUACCAUAAGGCCCCUUUUGGGGUCCUUUGGGUGUGGCUGCAUCUCACCAUGUUGAGGAUUGCCUUUUUUUUUUUUUUUU